rnacentral:rRNA from 1 species
GCAGUAGCCGCGGUAAUACAGAGGGUGCGAGCGUUAAUCGGAUUUACUGGGCGUAAAGCGUGCGUAGGCGGCUUUUUAAGUCGGAUGUGAAAUCCCUGAGCUUAACUUAGGAAUUGCAUUCGAUACUGGGAAGCUAGAGUAUGGGAGAGGAUGGUAGAAUUCCAGGUGUAGCGGUGAAAUGCGUAGAGAUCUGGAGGAAUACCGAUGGCGAAGGCAGCCAUCUGGCCUAAUACUGACGCUGAGGUACGAAAGCAUGGGGAGCAAACAGGAUUAGAUACCCCGGUAGUCCCUGUCUCUUAUAA